rnacentral:SRP_RNA from 1 species
GCCGGGCGUGGUGGCUCAUGCCUGUAAUCCCAGCACUUUGGGAGGCUGAGGUGGGUGGAUCACUUGAGGUCAGGAGUCGCCACCAGCCUGGCCAACAUGGUGAAACCCCAUCUCUA